CGAACGAUGAACCACUUCGGUGGGGAUUAGUGGCGAACGGGUGAGUAACACGUGGGCAAUCUGCCCUUCACUCUGGGACAAGCCCUGGAAACGGGGUCUAAUACCGGAUACGACCACCGACCGCAUGGUCUGGUGGUGGAAAGCUCCGGCGGUGAAGGAUGAGCCCGCGGCCUAUCAGCUUGUUGGUGGGGUGAUGGCCUACCAAGGCGACGACGGGUAGCCGGCCUGAGAGGGCGACCGGCCACACUGGGACUGAGACACGGCCCAGACUCCUACGGGAGGCAGCAGUGGGGAAUAUUGCACAAUGGGCGAAAGCCUGAUGCAGCGACGCCGCGUGAGGGAUGACGGCCUUCGGGUUGUAAACCUCUUUCAGCAGGGAAGAAGCGAGAGUGACGGUACCUGCAGAAGAAGCGCCGGCUAACUACGUGCCAGCAGCCGCGGUAAUACGUAGGGCGCAAGCGUUGUCCGGAAUUAUUGGGCGUAAAGAGCUCGUAGGCGGCUUGUCACGUCGGAUGUGAAAGCCCGGGGCUUAACCCCGGGUCUGCAUUCGAUACGGGCAGGCUAGAGUUCGGUAGGGGAGAUCGGAAUUCCUGGUGUAGCGGUGAAAUGCGCAGAUAUCAGGAGGAACACCGGUGGCGAAGGCGGAUCUCUGGGCCGAUACUGACGCUGAGGAGCGAAAGCGUGGGGA
rnacentral:rRNA from 1 species